rnacentral:rRNA from 1 species
ACAUGCCUACAACAUAGCGUUAAUGCACUGGAUCCCAUUAGAACUCCAUAGUUAAGCACACUCAGGAUAGAGUAGUACUGGGAUGGGUUUUCACCUGGGAAGUCCUAGUGUUUUACAUGCC